rnacentral:lncRNA from 1 species
CCAAGCUUCUGCAGCUUCGAAAGUGAACCUGGGAUCGUCCCAGAAAGAUUGUUAAAUGAAAGCUCCAAGAAUGUUAAGUUGGUGAGUUGGCUGAUAAAAUCAGGAACCGGCCCAGAAAUGUUUGUCCAGCUAAUACGUAGCGUCUUCAGGUUUUUGAGCUUGGCAAUGGCGGGUUGUAUGGGGCCAGUGAGGCUGGGUAGCUUGUGAAACAUUAGGGUUUCGAGGUAAGGAAGAUCACCAACUUCGGGGGGGAUCUGGCCGGGGAGAUCUCCGGCGAAGAUGGUGAGAGAGUUGAUGCGGUUAGUGGUGAGAUCGCAUGUGACGCAGUACCAGUCACAGCAGUCAGUUUUUGGGUUCCAAGAAG